UGGAGAUCUACUUCCAUAUGAACCAGUGGAUUUCACUCUGCUUAAUGGAAGUGCCUUAGACUACUUCUCAAACCUCAGUCCACGUCAGAAUCACCAAAGGGCCUGAUGCAUCCCAGAUUCCAGUCCCUUCUCUCCAUCCCAGACAUUCUGCUGAGGAAAAACACCGGGCUCCAUUUGAGACGUCUGAUGUUCAUAAUGCCAAGAAUUAUUUAUUUGUAAUAAUUAUAGUUCCAAACGUAAAAUGCAUCCUCUGGGCUUGCUGGUGUUCAGGAUCAUGGAAAAG
rnacentral:lncRNA from 10 species